CUACGGGGCGCUCCAGUAAGGAAUAUUGCGCAAUGGAGGCAACUCUGACGCAGCCAUGCCGCGUGCAGGAAGAAGGCCUUAUGGGUCGUAAACUGCUUUUAUUUAGGAAUAAACCCCCGAACGUGUUCGGGGCUGAAGGUACUAAACGAAUAAGCACCGGCUAACUCCGUGCCAGCAGCCGCGGUAAUACGGAGGGUGCAAGCGUUAUCCGGAUUUAUUGGGUUUAAAGGGUGCGCAGGCGGGCUAUUAAGUCAGUGGUGAAAUCCCGGGGCUCAACUCCGGAACUGCCAUUGACACUGAUAGCCUUGAGUUUGGUUGAAGUGGGCGGAAUGUAGCAUGUAGCGGUGAAAUGCAUAGAUAUGCUACAGAACACCAAUCGCGAAGGCAGCUCACUAAGCCAAAACUGACGCUCAUGCACGAAAGCGUGGGGAUCAAACAGGAUUAGAUACCCUUGUAGUC
rnacentral:rRNA from 1 species